rnacentral:rRNA from 1 species
GAUGAACGCUAGCUACAGGCUUAACACAUGCAAGUCGAGGGGUAACGAGAGGAAAGCUUGCUUUCCUUGUCGACGGCCGGCGCACGGGUGAGUAACGCGUAUCCAACCUGCCCCCAACUAGGGAAUAACCUUGCGAAAGUAAGACUAAUACCCUAUAAUUUCCUCAGAUGUCAUCUGACGAGGAAUAAAGAUUUAUCGGUUGUGGAUGGGGAUGCGUCUGAUUAGCUUGUUGGCGGGGUAACGGCCCACCAAGGCAACGAUCAGUAGGGGGUCUGAGAGGAGGGUCCCCCACAUUGGAACUGAGACACGGUCCAAACUCCUACGGGAGGCAGCAGUGAGGAAUAUUGGUCAAUGGGCCGAAGCCUGAACCAGCCAAGUAGCGUGCAGGAUGACGGCCCUAUGGGUUGUAAACUGCUUUUAUACAGGAAUAAAGUUAGCCACGUGUGGUUAUUUGUAGGUACUGUAUGAAUAAGGACCGGCUAAUUCCGUGCCAGCCGCCGCCGUAA